UACAGCUUUCAUGUUGGAAUACGGAAAGCCGGAAACGGUCCGCCGCCGGAGGACGUGACUGCGGCCGAUUAGGUAGACGGUGGGGUAACGGCCCACCGUGCCGAUAAUCGGUACGGGUUGUGAGAGCAAGAACCCGGAGACGGACUCUGAGACAAGAGUCCGGGCCCUACGGGGCGCAGCAGACGCGAAACCUUUACACUGCACGACAGUGCGAUAAGGGGAUCCCGAGUGCGAGGGCAUACAGUCCUCGCUUUUCGUGACCGUAAGGUGGUCUCAGAAUAAGGGCUGGGCAAGACCGGUGCCAGCCGCCGCGGUAAUACCGGCAGCCCGAGUGAUAGCCACUCUUAUUGGGCCUAAAGCGUCCGUAGCUGGCCGAACGGGUCCGUCGGGAAAUCCACCCGCUCAACGGGUGGGCGUCCGGCGGAAACCAGUCGGCUUGGGACCGGAGGACCUGCGGGGUACGUCUGGGGUAGGAGUGAAAUCCUGUAAUCCCAGACGGACCACCGGUGGCGAAAGCGCCGCAGGAGGACGGAUCCGACAGUGAGGGACGAAAGCUUGGGUCUCGAACCGGAUUAGAUACCCGGGUAGUCCAAGCCGUAAACGAUGCUCGCUAGGUGUGGCGCAGGCUACGAGCCUGCGCUGUGCCGUAGGGAAGCCGAGAAGCGAGCCGCCUGGGAAGUACGUCCGCAAGGAUGAAACUUAAAGGAAUUGGCGGGGGAGCACUACAACCGGAGGAGCCUGCGGUUUAAUUGGACUCAACGCCGGACAUCUCACCGGCACCGACAAUGUGCAGUGACGGUCAGUGUGAUGAGCUUACCUGAGCCAUUGAGAGGAGGUGCAUGGCCGCCGUCAGCUCGUACCGUGAGGCGUCCUGUUAAGUCAGGCAACGAGCGAGACCCGCAUCCCUAAUUGCCAGCAACACCCAUGUGGUGGUUGGGUACAUUAGGGAGACUGCCGCUGCCAAAGCGGAGGAAGGAACGGGCAACGGUAGGUCAGUAUGCCCCGAAUGUGCCGGGCUACACGCGGGCUACAAUGGCCGAGACAGUGGGACGCUACCCCGAGAGGGGACGCUAAUCUCCUAACCUCGGUCGUAGUUCGGAUUGCGGGUUGAAACCCACCCGCAUGAAGCUGGAUUCGGUAG
rnacentral:rRNA from 1 species